rnacentral:lncRNA from 1 species
UUUUUUUCUUAUUUUUUAGAUGGAUGUUAUGUCCACGUGUAUAAAGUUUGUUUUAAAUUUGAAGAUAAAGUGAAGGUUUUUUUAUGAUGAGGAAAUACGAGCACAUCUUCCUUUUAAGCGGCCCGCAAUGGCGGGUCUCUCAACCACUAGUAAACUAAAAAUGUCAACCCAUUUAAAAUUGACAUGCUGACAUUUGAUUUGG